rnacentral:ncRNA from 1 species
AUAAUGAUACAUCUCUACGGAGCUGGCGGAGUACCCGGCAGUGGUGAAAUUCCAAUG